rnacentral:rRNA from 1 species
UACGGGGGGGGCAAGCGUUGUUCGGAAUUACUGGGCGUAAAGGGCGCGUAGGCGGUUGGAUAAGUCAGCUGUGAAAACCACGGGCUUAACUCGUGGCCUGCAGUUGAGACUGUCUGGCUUGAGUGUGGGAGAGGAGAGUGGAAUUCCUGGUGUAGCGGUGAAAUGCGUAGAUAUCGAGAGGAACACCAGUGGCGAAGGCGAGUCUCUGGACGACUCCUGACACUGAGGCACGAAAGCUAGGGGAGCAAACAGG